CUGACUAUCCAAAGGCCUCCCAGGCACACGCACCAAGGCAGAGAGCUUCAGAGAGUUUCAUGUUACCCAGACCAGUGCUGACGGUCAGUGGUUUGUGCUGCACUCACAUCUUUUGCUGGGAUGUGAAUACUGACAGGCUGGGA
rnacentral:lncRNA from 1 species